UAUCGGGCGGUGUCGAUUCCAUUCCAAGUGUUUUCAGUAGGAAGCUCUUUUCCUGAAAAAGGAGACCGAAAUAUCUGGAUUUCACUGAAGUUUAAAAAACAUCCUACUGCUUAAAUUAUGUGGAUAAUCACAAAGAAAUUGCUAAAAGAACUUACGCUUUCUGAAAAGUGUGGGCUCGGAAUGCAUUGUGCCAUUGAUCUGAAAAAUGGAGUUACUUGAAGAGGCGAAUUAAACUCUGAACUUGGUAAAGGACAUACACCUCCAACAUCAUUGUUCAUUUCGUUUGUAGAUGGUAAAAUAUCUGUAACACAGACAAAUGUAUGUUACCAUGAUAAGAAAGCUAUAAUACUAGUACUUUUAUUUUA